UAUCGGAUUGAUACUAAGCCAUGCGAGUCAUUGCAGUAAUGCAAGGCAGACGGCUCAGUAACGCGUAGUCAACCUACCCUAUGGACGGGAAUAACCUCGGGAAACUGAGUAUAAUGCCCGAUAGAACACUAUUCCUGGAAUGGUUUGUGUUCCAAAUGAUUUAUCGCCGUAGGAUGGGACUGCGGCCUAUCAGUUUGUUGGUGAGGUAAUGGCCCACCAAGACUAUUACAGGUACGGGCUCUGAGAGGAGUAGCCCGGAGAUGGGUACUGAGACACGGACCCAGGCCCUAUGGGGCGCAGCAGGCGAGAAAACUUUGCAAUGUGCGAAAGCACGACAAGGUUAAUCCGAGUGGUUUGUGCUAAACGAACCUUUUGACAGUCCUAGAAACACUGUUGAAUAAGGGUGGGCAAGUUCUGGUGUCAGCCGCCGCGGUAAAACCAGCACCUCAAGUGGUCAGGAUGAUUAUUGGGCCUAAAGCAUCCGUAGCCGGCUCUGUAAGUUUUCGGUUAAAUCUGUACGCUCAACGUACAGGCUGCCGGGAAUACUGCAGAGCUAGGGAGUGGGAGAGGUAGACGGUACUCGGUAGGAAGGGGUAAAAUCCUUUGAUCUAUUGAUGACCACCUGUGGCGAAGGCGGUCUACCAGAACACGUCCGACGGUGAGGGAUGAAAGCUGGGGGAGCAAACCGGAUUAGAUACCCGGGUAGUCCCAGCUGUAAACUAUGCAAACUCAGUGAUGCAUUGGCUUGUGGCCAAUGCAGUGCUGCAGGGAAGCCGUUAAGUUUGCCGCCUGGGAAGUACGUACGCAAGUAUGAAACUUAAAGGAAUUGGCGGGGGAGCACCACAAGGGGUGAAGCCUGCGGUUCAAUUGGAUUC
rnacentral:rRNA from 1 species